rnacentral:rRNA from 1 species
GACGAACCACACAACCGUUAUUCGGAAUUACUGGGCUUAAAGGGUGCGUAGGCGGCGCGGAAAGUUGGGUGUGAAAUCCCUCGGCUCAACCGAGGAACUGCGCCCAAAACUACCGUGCUCGAGGGAGAUAGAGGUGAGCGGAACUUAGGGUGGAGCGGUGAAAUGCGUUGAUAUCGUUAGGAACUCCGGUGGCGAAGGCGGCACGCUGGACCUCUUCUGACGCUGAGGCACGAAAGCCAGGGGAGCGAACGGG